UUUGAAUUUUUAAAAGUGGAUUAAGGUCGCUUGUGUUUCACUAUUGGGAAAUUCAAAUUCUUUGUAUUCCAUUCCAAUUAUAAAUCCAUCCAUUUAUUCGCGCCAGUGGAUCUACCACGCCAUCUCUUGGCUUUUUCACUUUUAAUUUCUAAAAUAAACAAACAGUGACCAAAAACGCCAAAUGUAGUGAGAGUCAUUUCGAAUUUUGAAUCCCUUUGAAUUAAAGACUGAAAAGGUUGGACCAUCACUGACUGACAUUAGCUUGCACUUGACUCAGCAAAUGUCAAAUUAUGGAUAAUGGAUUUCCAACAUUUACACAUGUGGUGUGUGGCCACUCGUCGUCCAAGUGACAUGCAAUUAUUUUUCACUAUGCAAUGCCGCUCACUUGAGAGUGACUGCUGGAAAAGGUUUGCCCGUCGGGUCAGAACCCUUGAAAGUCUCGAGGACGGAAAUGUAUAGCAGCUCACAGCGUGAUGCAGAAUUAAACGAAGGCCGCCAAGGCCAAGCGAGCUGCUGCUGCUCAAUCUUCAAUUGACUGGAAUCGUUUAACGACCGACACCAGCGCGAAUGCUGAUUCAUUGUAAAACUCAUCUUUGUAGAAAAAAAUGUUAAAGCAGUAAGAAGUUGACGAUCGAGCAUGAGGUGCAUACAUUAAUUGCUUUUUUGUUCAUUUGAAAAGGCGAAUAAUUCGUUAAAUUUAGGCAACAGUAAUUGGCCAAUUAAAUCUAGAACUCGACGAACACGUCGCUAGAGAGAAAUUGUCCAGCCACAGCGGUUCCACAAUUGACAUACCAAUGUCAAAAUAUCCUUUGGGUGCUGUCAAUUUAAUUUAGUCAACAGUUUUAUAAAUAUGAGCUAACUAACGUGUGAUUGUGAAUUCACAUGUUGUAGAAUAACCGGAUAUGGUGGCGCUAGUAUUGCUACUUAAUGCUCAUUUACCUUUGCCCCUUUGGAUUAAUAAUUCGUUAAUUUUUCCGCAACUAUCUAGUCAUUUGCUAAAUAGAUUUUGAUGUAGUUUUGAAAUAAAAACUUUUAAUAAAAUUUAUAUGGAUUUCCCCUGUUGGUCGUUCUUCCACUAUGAUAACCAGAAAGAAGGGGAAGACCACUCAGCACUACUACCAGCUUAGUCAUGGAUCAAGCAGCAACACUGCCAAGGCCCAAAGCAUCUCUGUCAUCUUUUGGUUACCAGGUUCCUCCUACUUUGAUAUCUUAAGUACUACAGUUUCAGUUACUUUUACUUUACACAAUUCCAAAGACAUUUAUUGGCAGUGAAAGUAAGCUAAUUUUGUCUGCUAAUUGACCGUAUAUUUUCUAGCAACAAUGCUCACUUGUUACAUUUUUUAUAAUUUGCUUUUUUAUUGGCUACUUCCGGUUUCUAAACGAGUUAGUAGUUUAGUAAAUCUUCAUUUGACGCAGAAUAGAACCAAAUAUUCGGGAUCCUUGCCAAAUUUGGGGUUUAAAUCAUGUUUUAUUUUGCGUUUUUGCGUACUUCCGGUUUACCCCAAAAUCGUCCAAAAUUGCAAAUUUUGCUCAGGAAAAUUCUCGAUUUUGACAAAAUUCUGGAUUUCGUUUAAAUUACAUCUUAUCGACCCCAAAUCUCACGGAGAUCACGAAUAUUUGGUUUUUGGUCGGCAGCUCAAUGGUUAAGGCGCUAUCGCUUACUUCCGGUAUACUUCCGAAAAAUUUGUAUUAAACUAGCAAGUGAGCUUUGUUCUCUGUAAAGUUCUAAGGAUUGAAUGCUAGGUAUUAGCAACAAAUAUGAACUUUUCAACUUUUGUGAGUAUCUUUAUCUUAAUAAGACCACCUGCAAAUACUGAGUUUUGAGACGUGUCAAAUAGAUGGCGAGUUGAUUGUGUCAAUGGAAUGGCGGUUUGCUGUCAAAAGUUAAGCUAUCCUUUCUUCGAAAAUUACCAACGAAUUCAUUAAUAAAUUCCAGUGAUUUUGUCUCUAACUUGUCGGUGAUGUGUUCUAUUCUGUGUAUACGUUGGAUAAAAUUAAUGUUUCUCAUCAACUUAUAGGAGGAAACAUAAAAGAUUCGUGGCGUCGUGCAGCCUACCGGCUACCGUCUACCGUCAACUAUUUUGUUCAAAAUCAUUGUAUUCUACUGAAUGUGCCAUCGAAAUGAUACAGGAGUCAUAAUUAUCUGCUGUUUGUAUUGGACUUGGUAGAUCACCAACGGCCCAGCAUAGACCAAUCUCACAUUUCAUCUUCUCGAGAGAAGAUUGGAUAACUGAUCGGUGGUUUCAUGUGUUCUAAACUCCAGGUUUCUAAAUUUGCAUGGCAGACUUUAUGAGAAGUCAUGUCCUUUCAAGAAAGUCAGCAAGGUCCCUUGUUUACUAACCUGUUGGCUGCUACCCUUGAGUCUUCCUUUUUACUUUCUUAAGCGGGCCAUCUUUAUUUGAGGGUAAUCCUUCGCUACUUGUCAUGGCCUUCAUCCACAGGUGAAAAACCGACGAGACAAUGCUGCAAUUCAAGACUGAUAAAUUGUUUAAUCGUUAGAUUCAAUUACAAGUGCAUAUCUGGGCUCCCUUCUUUUCUGUGGCCCCGUUUCCCUAACUAACCACUAA